CACGGGAGUUGCAGAAGGAACCAUUCGGAACUCGUACAAGGAUCUUUAUCCUCAUGUUUCAAAGAUAAUACCAAAUUGGUAUGCAAAGGAGGAGGAUUUGAAGAACCUUUCUAGCCCUUGAAAGAAUACAGUUCCGUCCAAGGAGGAGGAUUUGAAGAACCUUUCUAGCCCUUGAAAGAAUACAGUUCCAUCCAUAUUAAACAACCUAGAUGUCAUUGAUGGAAACAGUUGCUUUGGAUGCAUUGAACUUUUGUAUACUUUUUUUUGUGUUUGAAAUGAAAGCGUCUAUUUAUUUAUAUUUAUUAUAUCAUUAUUUUGAAAUUCUCAUUGUAGUUAACUGCAACACCAAUUGAUUUGCUUCAGCUUCCUCAUUCGAUUUGAUAUUCUUUAGAUAAAAUUUGUUAGACCUUAAUGAAAGGAACAGAUUAUCCAUUAAAGGGCCUGAAAUCACCGGGCACCCGUUGCUGUCCAAUUUAUUUAGGUGGCACUUGAUAUUGAUGUUCUAUUUUAUUAGAACCACUUUGGUUGUUUACUUUUUAAAUUUUAAAUUAGGGGUGGGAAAAUAGAUAGAUGAAAUCAAUCUAUUAACAAUUUAUUAUUAUUUUUUGAAAUUUCAUUUCA
rnacentral:lncRNA from 1 species